rnacentral:rRNA from 1 species
CCCUUAGAUGUUCUGGGCCGCACACGCGCUACACUGGCAGGUUCAUCGAGCUUCAUGCCCUGAUCUGAGAAGAACGGGAAAUCUUUGAACACCUGCCGUGCUUGGGAUAGAUGUUUGCAAUUAUUCAUCUUCAACGAGGAUUGCCUUGUAAGCGCACGUCAUCAGCGUGCAUUGAAUACGACCCUGUAUUCUGUACACACCGCCCGUCGCUCCUACCGAUUGAAGUUUUCGGUGAAUUUACUGGAGAUCCCUUUUGAAGGUGGUUCGCCACUGGAAGAAGUAUUCAAAAGUAAAUGAAUCGAAUGCUUUAGAGGGAGGAGAAGUCGUAACA